UAUCCAAAAUUGGUGGACGCCCCUGUUUCUGGUCAUGUUAAAAGAGCUGCUGAGGGAAGUUGAUGACUUCUCAUAUGGAUGUGGACAGGCUUUAAAGAGUUACGGACUUAUUAAUGUGCAAGAAGAAGAAUCUUAUGGUGAUAUAUCGUUGAAGUUGACUCCUACAUUUUCAGAGGCGCAAAUUUGGUUUCACUUAUAAAUGAGGUCUUGGACCAAGCGAAGAUUGAAUCUGGUAAGAUUGAGAUUGAGGCUGUGCAGUUUGAUCUAAGGGCCAUAUUGGAUGAUGUCGUCUCUCUUCUCGGGGAAAUCUCAAGAAAAAGGAGUGGAGCUAGCAGUUCACAUUUCUGAAAAUGUUCCGCAGAAGUUGAUUGGUGAUCCGGGGAGAUUUCAGCAGAUCAUCACAAAUCUUAUGGGGAACUCAGUUAUAGUAAGCUAUUUAAGUGUGGUUCACACAUUUUCUGAGAACUUUGUUUUUGAAUCUCAAGUCGCCAUUAUAAUUCUUGAUCUUCCUUCAUGGAAGGAAAAUUGUACUUGUUAUCAUCUUGAUAUAUAAAAAUAUUGCCAAUGACUUGAUCAUUCAGGAGGUCACAUGGAUUGGCUCCUACGUUACAAUAUUUACAAUCUAUCCUGCAUCCAUGUAAUCUAAAUAGCUAAUGUAUAUAUUAUGGUUUUCCCUACCUGAUGUUCCUGUCGAUUGUCAUUAAGGUUUUCCCUACCUGAUGUUCAUGUGCUAUGAAGCGUGCAAGAGGAUUAUGGUUGAGGAUGAUGAAGAGGCAUAACCACAUAUUUGACAAGAAGAAAUACGAGGUCUUUUGCUAUGGAUCAUCUACAGAAAGAGUGGAUAAAGAUGACUAUUUUGUAUAUUGCGAUUUUUUUUUUUUUGGUCAGAUGUAUACUGCAAUUGAAUGGUUUAGUUUAUGUUUUUUUCUUUUGCUCAUACAAUUUCUUCAGAAGAAUUCUUCAAGGAAGUUCUUGUUACCAAGGUUGGUUCUACAUGCACUCGCAAAGAUAUUCGAGGGGUUUACUUUUCUUUUGGAGUUCUAUGUGUUUC